rnacentral:rRNA from 1 species
GUAGGUGGCAAGCGUUGUCCGGAAUUAUUGGGCGUAAAGCGCGCGCAGGUGGUUCUUUAAGUCUGAUGUGAAAGCCCCCGGGCUCAACCGGGGAGGGUCAUUGGAAACUGGGGAACUUGAGUGCAGGAGAGGAAAGUGGAAUUCCACGCGUAGCGGUGAAAUGCGUAGAUAUGUGGAGGAACACCAGUGGCGAAGGCGACUUUCUGGCCUGUAACUGACACUGAGGCGCGAAAGCGUGGGGAGCAAACAGGAUUAGAUACCCUGGUAGUCCACGCCGUAAACGAUGAGUGCUAAGUGUUGGGGGGUUUCCGCCCCUCAGUGCUGCAGCUAACGCAUUAAGCACUCCGCCUGGGGAGUACGGCCGCAAAGACUG